UUUAUAGCCUCUGGCUAUAGGAAACUGUUAGUGGCAGACGGGUGAGUAAUGCGUAGGAAUCUACCUAGUAGUACGGAAUAGCCAUUAGAAAUGGUGGGUAAUACUGUAUAAUCCCCGAGGGGGAAAGAUUUAUCGCUAUUAGAUGAGCCUACGUUAGAUUAGCUAGUUGGUGAGGUAAUGGCUUACCAAGGCUAUGAUCUAUAGCUGGUCUGAGAGGACGAUCAGCCACACUGGAACUGAGAUACGGUCCAGACUCCUACGGGAGGCAGCAGUGGGGAAUAUUGGACAAUGGGCGAAAGCCUGAUCCAGCUAUGCCGCGUGAGUGAAGAAGGCCUUCGGGUUGUAAAACUCUUUCAAUAGGGAAGAUAAUGACGGUACCUAUAGAAGAAGUCCCGGCAAACUCUGUGCCAGCAGCCGCGGUAAUACGGAGGGGGCAAGCGUUGUUCGGAAUUAUUGGGCGUAAAGGGCACGUAGGUGGACUAGUAAGUUAAAAGUG
rnacentral:rRNA from 1 species